AUUGAACGCUGGCGGCAUGCCUUACACAUGCAAGUCGAACGGCAGCACGGGAGCAAUCCUGGUGGCGAGUGGCGAACGGGUGAGUAAAGUAUCGGAACGUGCCCAGUCGUGGGGGAUAACGUAGCGAAAGUUACGCUAAUACCGCAUACGAUCUAUGGAUGAAAGCGGGGGAUCGCAAGACCUCGCGCGAUUGGAGCGGCCGAUAUCAGAUUAGGUAGUUGGUGGGGUAAAGGCUCACCAAGCCGACGAUCUGUAGCUGGUCUGAGAGGACGACCAGCAACACUGGGGCUGAGACACGGCCCAGACUCCUACGGGAGGCAGCAGUGGGGAAUUUUGGACAAUGGGCGCAAGCCUGAUCCAGCCAUGCCGCGUGCAGGAUGAAGGCCUUCGGGUUGUAAACUGCUUUUGUACGGAACGAAAAGGUUUGACUUAAUACGUUGGACUCAUGACGGUACCGUAAGAAUAAGCACCGGCUAACUACGUGCCAGCAGCCGCCGUAA
rnacentral:rRNA from 1 species